rnacentral:lncRNA from 1 species
AGAGAAUUCAACUCCUGCAUGUGUACACACUUUUGGACUCAGGUGCUGUGGGACUGUCGGUGUAGCUGUGUGGUUGGUAACGAUGGCCACCACUUUGUACUCUCUGAAGCACAUUGAAAGAAUCACAGAUUGUCCACACGUAAGCUACAUACGCCUGUGCAUUUCCUAAAUAAAGGGGAAGCGUUCCAGAAACCCCCGGAGUCUGCCUGGUGAUUCCGUGCCUUACCUUCCCAGUCCAAGCUCCUGAACUGAACUCCGCAGACCAAAC